UACGUAGGGGGCGAGCGUUAAUCGGAAUUACUGGGCGUAAAGCGUGCGCAGGCGGUGCUGUAAGACCGAUGUGAAAUCCCCGGGCUUAACCUGGGAACUGCAUUGGUGACUGCAGCGCUGGAGUAUGGCAGAGGGGGGUGGAAUUCCACGUGUAGCAGUGAAAUGCGUAGAGAUGUGGAGGAACACCGAUGGCGAAGGCAGCCCCCUGGGCCAAUACUGACGCUCAUGCACGAAAGCGUGGGGAGCAAACAGG
rnacentral:rRNA from 1 species